rnacentral:rRNA from 1 species
GAUGAACGCUGGCGGCAGGCCUAUCACAUGCAAGUCGAGCGCGCCUUCGGGUGAGCGGCGGACGGGUUAGUAACGCGUGGGAACGUGCCCUUCUCUACGGAAUAGCCUCUGGAAACGGAGAGUAAUACCGUAUACGCCCUUUGGGGGAAAGAUUUAUCGGAGAAGGAUCGGCCCGCGUUAGAUUAGGUAGUUGGUGGGGUAACGGCCUACCAAGCCUACGAUCUAUAGCUGGUUUUAGAGGAUGAUCAGCAACACUGGGACUGAGACACGGCCCAGACUCCUACGGGAGGCAGCAGUGGGGAAUCUUAGACAAUGGGGGCAACCCUGAUCUAGCCAUGCCGCGUGAGUGAUGAAGGCCUUAGGGUCGUAAAGCUCUUUCGCCUGUGAUGAUAAUGACAGUAGCAGGUAAAGAAACCCCGGCUAACUCCGUG